rnacentral:rRNA from 1 species
UGGGGAAUAUUGGACAAUGGGGCAACCCUGAUCCAGCAAUGCCGCGUGUGUGAAGAAGGUCUUCGGAUUGUAAAGCACUUUCGACGGGGACGAUGAUGACGGUACCCGUAGAAGAAGCCCCGGCUAACUUCGUGCCAGCAGCCGCGGUAAUACGAAGGGGGCUAGCGUUGCUCGGAAUGACUGGGCGUAAAGGGCGUGUAGGCGGUUUACACAGUCAGAUGUGAAAUCCCCGGGCUUAACCUGGGAGCUGCAUUUGAUACGUGUAGACUAGAGUGUGAGAGAGGGUUGUGGAAUUCCCAGUGUAGAGGUGAAAUUCGUAGAUAUUGGGAAGAACACCGGUGGCGAAGGCGGCAACCUGGCUCAUGACUGACGCUGAGGCGCGAAAGCGUGGGGAGCAAACAGGAUUAGAUACCCUGGUAGUCCACGCUGUAAACGAUGUGUGCUAGAUGUUGGGUAACUU